CCUGAGCUGAAGCCUGUUUGAGACAAGGGGACGAGACAGCUGGUAGGCCACCCUCUAUUAUAUUAGGGCCCCAGACCGUUGGAGCUCACUUCCUCCUCAGCUACACAAAAGUCUGAGUCUUUUAGCCUUCAGGACAUAAUGUAAACAUCCUCUCUACACUCCACACAAAAAUUCCCCUUUCUCAACCUCAACCAACCUCCCUUCCAGCCCCCACAUAACUCCACCCUCAUUCUCAACAACCAACAGCCCCAGGUUUCAACAGGUGGAACAAACCAGAUCAAGAUGCCACCACACCUGAUCCUGGGACCAGCCCUUUAUUAACCAGUUGUCAAGGCAGUCAGCUGGGGAGUCCCCCAGGAUCUAGACUGUGAAGACAGAGGAGGACUGAACAGCUUCCUGGCCUGCUGAGGAGUGUGAAGGCCCAAGGAGCAGAGGGUGGCACGGGAGUCUUUAAGGCCAUAGAGCCUUGAGUCUGUGAGCUCAGAGAAGAGCCCCGCCCCCUCAAAUGGGAGGUCCUGAAUAUUGGCCUGCUUCUCCUGGGAUAACCCAGAGGACUGCAACCAGGAGCUGCGCCUCAUGGCCACCAUGGAGGCGACCACACUAGCUGCUGAAUCAGUAGCGUCCCAGGCCAUUUGGAAGGUUCCUCUUGCCACUGCUGUGCCUUCAUCCACUAAAGCAGCAAACUUCUGGGCUCGGUCCUGUGGGAGGGCCUCCUUCAAUUUAAGGGAAUUCCACAAGUUAAAAUUGUACCUAACAGGGCUUGGUGGUUAGACACCCAAAAUUGCAGACUGGCCAUUCAAUAAAUCUUUCUGCCAAAUAA